rnacentral:piRNA from 1 species
GCAAAGAUAGGUGCAUGCCAGAAACUGU